GGACAGGUGGCCGAGUGGUCUAAGGCGAUCGCUUCAGGAGUUUGGUUCUGCGGUUGUACUCUGUACGCGUGGGUUCGAAUCCCACCCUGUUCA